UUGACAUUUGUGUUAACUUGUUUUUUCAUAAAAUACAGUGAAACCUCCCUUGGGCGGACACUCACCGUCAGUCAUUUUUUGGCCGCCGAAGAGAGGUGUCCGCUCAAUGGAAGGGAAGCUUA